rnacentral:rRNA from 1 species
UGAGGAAUAUUGGUCAAUGGACGAGAGUCUGAACCAGCCAAGUAGCGUGCAGGAUGACGGCCCUAUGGGUUGUAAACUGCUUUUAUAUGGGGAUAAAGUGGGGAACGUGUUCCCUUUUGCAGGUACCAUAUGAAUAAGGACCGGCUAAUUCCGUGCCAGCAGCCGCGGUAAUACGGAAGGUUCGGGCGUUAUCCGGAUUUAUUGGGUUUAAAGGGAGCGUAGGCUGGAGAUUAAGUGUGUUGUGAAAUGUAGACGCUCAACGUCUGAAUUGCAGCGCAUACUGGUUUCCUUGAGUACGCACAACGUUGGCGGAAUUCGUCGUGUAGCGGUGAAAUGCUUAGAUAUGACGAAGAACUCCGAUUGCGAAGGCAGCUGACGGGAGCGCAACUGACGCUUAAGCUCGAAGGUGCGGGUAUCAAACAGG